rnacentral:rRNA from 1 species
CCUACGGGAGGCAGCAGUGGGGAAUAUUGCACAAUGGGCGCAAGCCUGAUGCAGCCAUGCCGCGUGUGUGAAGAAGGCCUUAGGGUUGUAAAGCACUUUCAGCGAGGAGGAAGGGUUCAGUGUUAAUAGCACUGUGCAUUGACGUUACUCGCAGAAGAAGCACCGGCUAACUCCGUGCCAGCAGCCGCGGUAAUACGGAGGGUGCAA